UUUCAAACAGAACAGUAACACAGUUAAUACACGAGGCCCAAGGCCAGUGUCUUUAGUUUAGUAUUUCUUUUAAUUGUAUUAGAGAUGUGUACAAUGUGUUAGGCAUGUGGUACAUUGAGCCCUAUAUAUAGGCAUGCUAACACAUCUUGUAAUUACUUUUGAGCUUAAUNAGAAUAAACUUUUCUAAUUCAGAAAAUUAUUCUCUCUUGAAAGUCAUUGGCUAGAGAGUCCAAAGACCUCUAGCCUCCUUCCAAAGCACACUACCUCAUUUUUNCACUUUUCAAUUCACCAUUGUGCUUUCUCUCUCCUCCACGACGUCACUCUUCCACGGUGGCCCAUUUCAUUGCUGCCACCUCGCAUACAUCAGCAACAUCAUUNUCUCACCAAUUCUCUCACAUUUCAGAAGCGUAUUCCACACAACACCAUUCUUCAUACUUCAGAGAAAACCUCCUCUGCUAGGGUUUCUCAUCCUCAAGCGUAUCACUCCAUUUCUUCAUCNCGGAUCUGUCGCCUCUCCUCCGUAAGCGUCUUUUUCNUUCGUAGAUCUUCAUCUGUCCAACAUUUUACCACAUCUUGACCGAUCUAACACCUUUCCUCGCNUCUUUUGCCAUCUUCCACCGAUUAAAUACCCUCAAAUCCUUAGAUCUUCAUUUUCCACCGAUUAAUCCUCCAUUUCCACCGAUUAACCGAUCCAAAUCCAAUUUCCCCUCUUUUCUAGGGUUCCAUAGAUCAUCCUAGGGUUUUUUUUAGAGUUCUUCGAGUCAUAUACAUUCCGCUGCGUAAUUCUUUGCCGGAGAAGCUUCGAGGAGGUCGAAUCGGGUUCGCACAGCUCCAAUCCGGUGUUCUCCUCAAGGCGUCUCGUAUCAAGUGGUUAUCAGAGCCCAGGUUGCGUCCACGCUAUAAGAGCUAAGUAUAUCCUUCUGUCUUUAUUCUUGUUUUCAUUUGAUUUGCGUUUUUCGUUGAUGCCAUUUUCUGUCUCAGUUUUGAUUCAUGUUUCUGUUUCGUUCUCUGUUAUUUCUUCACUUCUUGUGUUGAGUUUUGUUUUUGUGAAUCUGUCUUGNUUUUAUUCUUUGCGAUUUGUUCAUUUGAUUCGCGUUUAUUGAGUUGUUCAUUUUUUCCUUUAAUAUUCUGUGCAUCUGUUUGCUCAUCCUGUGCUUGAGUUUGUGUUUUGAGUCUUCUUCAUUUUAAUUCGGUGAAUCCAAGUAGUUUGAGUCUUUUGCUUGAGAAAUCAAUUUCUGUUAUGUCAAAGUCGUGUUGCUUUGUUUUAAUUGUCAAUUAAAUCUGAGUUUAACUGUGAUUCAAUUGAGUUUAUGGCUUUGAGUAAGAUCUGUACAUCAUCAUAAGCAGUGACAUUCAAGUGAAUGAGCUUGAUGACAGACUUCAAUAGCAGUUUUAAUGUCAGUUCAUUUAUUUGAAGCUNUCUUGAGUUUUGAUGCUGUCCAUUACAUGUAAUUGUGUUGAACUAAAAUCCAGAGUGAAUACUGUAAAUCCUGAUAUUGCUUUUGCAAUUGGUAGUAUAACUGGAAAGUUCAUGGCAUCUGUUUUCAUCAGGCAGUAGGCCGAACUGCCUAAGUUCAUUGCUAAAGUUGUUUUUUGUGUGUGUCAAAUNUGGUUGAGUAUUUAGUUCAUGACCAACCAUCUAAAAUUGUUGUUCUGCUAUUUGAGCAAGUUUUCCAUACUGUUUUAAGUUCAAUUCUGGUGCAUUCAUUUAGUAUAAUCUGCUGUUUCACAAUUUGGCUAUUAGAGUGAUUGAGUGAAAAUGCAUAAGGAACUGCACAUAUCAUAAUCUGAUAUAAGCUGAAUCUGUGCAAAAUUUUUCGUCAAACAAGAUUCAAAUCAUCAUUAAAACUUGUUGGAGCAAAGAGGANUUGACUUUAUUUGGAUUUGUGCAUUUUCACUAGUCAACUAGUCCAUUUUUCUUAAACUCUGACCAGUCCAACUCAAGUGCUGCAUAAUUGUGUUAAGUCCAGCUGAAGUGUGUUUAAAUUCUAUGAAAAUGUUGUAGCAAAAGCUGGAUUCCAUAUAAAAGAAAUAUAGCAAUCAAAAGAAAAUGAAUUGACAGUGAAGAAAAAAAGCAUUGAAUCCGUGCAACAGGCUGUUUUGGAAAGUCUGCAGAUUGUAAAAUUUAAUACUAGCUGGACUGUCUUUGAGGCAUAUUAACAAACAGUUUGUGGAAUUGGCAUUUUAUCAUUGACUNCACCUCUUUUGUUGAUUGAGUCAUUUGUUUGUGUUUUAAAUCUGUUCUAGAGCUAUUCCUAGGUUCUGUUUGUGUGCCAGCUUUUAUUGAAAGCUUUUGUUUCUUGCUUGUAUUGAUUGAUAACUCUGGUUUUGUCCAUCACGUGCAUUCUGUUCUGCUGAUUAUAAUUGAAGCUUUCCUUUGCUUUUGAAAUCUGGUUUAGAGCUCUGAGUAGAGUUUGAUCUGUGUUGACCAUUUCCAUUGCUUUGUUUUGUCCUGUUCUGUUUACCUGUUAUUGCUUUUGCUUAGCCUAUCCAUCUCUGGUUUGAGAAGCUUUCACUCUUGGUGUUUAUUUGGAAAUUUGAAAAGGUUUGUGUGCUUGGUAGCAUCUUAGGUGGUGGUGGUCUAAAAGACUCUCCAGCCCUGAACUAACAAGGGAGAAUCUCUCUUCUAAACCUUUCAUCUGUGUGAUUAAAAGUUUUUAAGAGAAGCCUUCAGAAAAAANUCUUGAGUUUGUGAGCUUUGUNUGGCUGCAUCUAAGAGCCAAAUUUCUUGUUGAGAGUGUGUUUUGAUUUUAAGUGCUGCUAUAAGUUUUAAAUUGAACUGUGUGCUAACUGUUUACUUGUGCAGCAUCACAUAAUCUGUUUGGCAAAGCAAACUGCUACUGCAAUCACUCCAAUUUAGUUUGACUACUGCAUAAUAUUCUGCACUGACUUGUUUGGGAAUUCUAUUAAAUAGUUGCAACAGUUUUGGAAGUUGGCCAAUGAAUCUGAGAAAACAGCAGCCUAAUCACUUCAUAUUGGAGUUGAACUGAAGGGAGUCUUUAACUUCAGUGCCUUUGUUUUCUUUCAGUGCAUUGUUCCUGUUAUUGUUUGGCAUUGAUUAGCAUUAGGAGAAGUAUUGAAUUAGUGUUGAAUUCUUGGUGCAGCAGAUUUCAAUUUGAAAGCACAGGAAAUUCUGCAGCUUCACCAAGUGCUGAGACCGAGAGCUUCCANGGAAAUUCGUUGUGCAGAUUGGAACUUAUUGGCAUUACCACAGUAGNAUAANCAUUCCUGUGUGCAGUUUUGUAUUGAAGAUUACAAAUUGAGUGCGAAUAGGAUUCAUGCUCUACGUCAAUUGUGCAACACCGAGAAAGGGAGAAUUCUUUAUCUUGUGCAUUCUAUUUUGUAAUNUGUUAGGAAAAAGUCACUUAACCAGGUUUGUGUAUCUGAUUUGGCAGAAUUAAAAUAGUCCAGAAAACCAAAG
rnacentral:lncRNA from 1 species